GACGAACGCUGGCGGCGUGCUUAACACAUGCAAGUCGAACGGAAAGGCCCUGCUUUUGUGGGGUGCUCGAGUGGCGAACGGGUGAGUAACACGUGAGUAACCUGCCCUUGACUUUGGGUUAACUUCAGGAAACUGGGGCUAAUACCGGAUAGGAGCUCCUGCUGCAUGGUGGGGGUUGGAAAGUUUCGGCGGUUGGGGACGGACUCGCGGCUUAUCAGCUUGUUGGUGGGGUAGUGGCUUACCAAGGCUUUGACGGGUAGCCGGCCUGAGAGGGUGACCGGCCACAUUGGGACUGAGAUACGGCCCAGACUCCUACGGGAGGCAGCAGUGGGGAAUAUUGCACAAUGGGCGGAAGCCUGAUGCAGCAACGCCGCGUGCGGGAUGACGGCCUUCGGGCUGUAAACCGCUUUCGCCUGUGACGAAGCGUGAGUGACGGUAAUGGGUAAAGAAGCACCGGCUAACUACGUG
rnacentral:rRNA from 1 species